GACGAACGCUGGCGGCGUGCCUAAUACAUGCAAGUUGAGCGCAGAAGGGUGGUACUUGUUCCUACUGUGUUAGCAGCGAACGGGUGAGUAACGCGUGGGUAAUCUGCCUUUGAGCGGGGGACAACAUCUGGAAACGAAUGCUAAUACCGCAUAAAAACUUUAAACACAAGUUUUAAGAUUGAAAGAUGCAAUUGCUUCACUCAAUGAUGAUCCCGCGUUGGAUUAGCUAGUUGGUGAGGUAAAGGCUCACCAAGGCGAUGAUACAUAGCCGAACUGAGAGGGUGAAUCGCCACAAUGGGAAUGGGACAAGGCCCAAACCCCCAACGGAGGCAGCCAGAGGGAAACUUCGGGAAAGGACGGAAGGCCGAACGGGCAAAGGCGCGGGAGGGAAGAAGGGUCUCGGGUCGGAAAACUCUGUUGGUAGGGAAGAAAGUUGGUGGGAGUGAAAAGCGCAUCAAGUGACGGUAACUACCCAGAAAGGGACGGCUAACUACGUA
rnacentral:rRNA from 1 species